AGCAGCCGCGGUAAUUCCAGCUCCAAUAGCGUAUAUUAAAGUUGUUGCAGUUAAAAAGCUCGUAGUUGAACUUCAGGCCUGGCUGGAUGGUCCGCCUUCUGGGUGAGUACUGUCUGUGGUCGGGUCCUACCUUCUGGCGAAGCGUCAUGGCCUUCACCGGCCGUGGCGGGGAGCCAGGACUUUUACUGUGAAAAAUUAGAGUGUUCAAAGCAGGCACGCGCUUGAAUACAUUAGCAUGGAAUAAUGGAAUAGGACAGUGGUUCUAUUUGUUGGUUUCUAGGACCGUUGUAAUGAUUAAUAGGGAUAGUUGGGGGCAUUAGUAUUCAAUUGUCAGAGGUGAAAUUCUUGGAUUUAUUGAAGACUAACUACUGCGAAAGCAUUUGCCAAGGAUGUUUUCAUUAAUCAAGAACGAAAGUUAGGGGAUCGAAGACGAUCAGAUACCGUCGUAGUCUUAACCAUAAACUAUGCCGACUAGGAAUCGGGCGAUGUGACAAAAUG
rnacentral:rRNA from 1 species